rnacentral:siRNA from 1 species
UCCCAUUGAUUUUCACCGUGC